rnacentral:rRNA from 1 species
GACGAACGCUGGCGGCGUGCCUAAUACAUGCAAGUAGAACGCUGAAGAGAGGAGCUUGCUCUUCUUGGAUGAGUUGCGAACGGGUGAGUAACGCGUAGGUAACCUGCCUUGUAGCGGGGGAUAACUAUUGGAAACGAUAGCUAAUACCGCAUAACAAUGGGUGACACAUUUCAUUUAUUUGAAAGGGGCAAUUGCUCCACCACAAGAUGGACCUGCGUUGUAUUAGCUAGUAGGUGAGGUAAUGGCUUACCUAGGCGACGAUACAUAGCCGACCUGAGAGGGUGAUCGGCCACACUGGGACUGAGACACGGCCCAGACUCCUACGGGAGGCAGCAGUAGGGAAUCUUCGGCAAUGGGGGCAACCCUGACCGAGCAACGCCGCGUGAGUGAAGAAGGUUUUCGGAUCGUAAAGCUCUGUUGUAAGUCAAGAACGGGUGUGAGAGUGGAAAGUUCACACUGUGACGGUAGCUUACCAGAAAGGGACGGCUAACUACGUG